AGGAGAUAGUGACGGAGUCAUGGAGCUCCGGAGCUAGUGAGAGGCUGAGGAGAGCGAGGCGCAGGAUGGGAGGAGGGAGAUCCGGGUACCUGCAGGCAGGUCAGCACACUCUUCCCAUUCACAUGUCAUAAUGCUGGGACUUGACGUUCAGGAGCAGAGCCAGCUACAUCCACUGGAGUCCUCCUUAAGCAAUACUGUGAACCACAAGUGGCCUAUACUACAUGUGCACUUCAUAGAGGAGCCAAUAUCAAACUGGGAUAUCAAGGAACAGGGAGAUUUGCCGACUGAAUAUCAGAAGCACCUCCUGCCACAAACCGAUACUGUCAACAUUCCUGAAUUUAUUCAGGUGCCAGAGCUAACAUCUUCCACGGGGAGCCAGGACUCUAGAGGACACUAUAGUUUAAACUCGGCUGUAAUGUUGGGUACUGUAGACAGGGUUGCCCCAAUGGAUAUUUCAAGUCCUCAGAAGAUGGAUCUCCAGGAAUCGGCUGAAUCUUCUGCUAUUGAGGAGAGAGUGGA